GGAAUUGUUCGCAAUGGGCGCAAGCCUGACGACGCAACGCCGCGUGGAGGACGAAGAUCUUCGGGUCGUAAACUCCUGUCGAGUGGGAAGAACACCUUUCGGGUGAACAAUCCGAAAGGCUGACGGUACCACUAAAGGAAGCCCCGGCCAACUCCGUGCCAGCCGCCGCGGUAAUACGGGGGGGGCAAGCGUUGUUCGGAAUUACUGGGCGGAAAGGGCUCGUAGGCGGCCAACUAAGUCGGAUGUGAAAUCCCCAGGCUCAACCUGGGAACUGCAUCCGAUACUGGAUGGCUUGAAUUCGGGAGAGGGAUGCAGAAUUCCAGGUGUAGCGGUGAAAUGCGUAGAUAUCUGGAGGAAUACCGGUGGCGAAGGCGGCAUCCUGGACCGACAUUGACGCUGAGGAGCGAAAGCUAGGGGAGCAAAC
rnacentral:rRNA from 1 species